rnacentral:rRNA from 1 species
UACGAACGCUGGCGGCAUGCCUAACACAUGCAAGUCGAACGAGACCUUCGGGUCUAGUGGCGCACGGGUGCGUAACGCGUGGGAAUCUGCCCUCAGGUACGGAAUAACUCAGGGAAACUUGAGCUAAUACCGUAUAAUGACUUCGGUCCAAAGAUUUAUCGCCUGGGGAUGAGCCCGCGUCGGAUUAGCUAGUUGGUGAGGUAAAGGCUCACCAAGGCGACGAUCCGUAGCUGGUCUGAGAGGAUGAUCAGCCACACUGGGACUGAGACACGGCCCAGACUCCUACGGGAGGCAGCAGUGGGGAAUAUUGGACAAUGGGCGCAAGCCUGAUCCAGCAAUGCCGCGUGAGUGAUGAAGGCCUUAGGGUUGUAAAGCUCUUUUACCCGGGAAGAUAAUGACUGUACCGGGAGAAUAAGCCCCGGCUAACUCCGUGCCAGCAGCCGCGGUAAUACGGAGGGGGCUAGCGUUGUUCGGAAUUACUGGGCGUAAAGCGCACGU